rnacentral:tRNA from 2 species
GGGCUCGUAGUCCAAUGGUAGAACACUUGCCUUGCACGCAUGAGAUCCGGGUUCGAUUCCCGGCGAGUCCA